rnacentral:rRNA from 1 species
UACGUAGGGUGCCAGCGUUGUCCGGAAUUAUUGGGCGUAAAGAGCUCGUAGGCGGUCUGUUGCGUCGGCUGUGAAAACCCGGGGCUCAACUCCGGGCCUGCAGCCGAUACGGGCAGACUAGAGUUCGGCAGGGGAGACUGGAAUUCCUGGUGUAGCGGUGAAAUGCGCAGAUAUCAGGAGGAACACCGGUGGCGAAGGCGGGUCUCUGGGCCGAUACUGACGCUGAGACGCGAAAGCGUGGGGAGCGAACAGG